rnacentral:rRNA from 1 species
CGGAGGGGCUAGCGUUAUUCGGAAUUACUGGGCGUAAAGCGCACGUAGGCGGACUGGAAAGUUGGAGGUGAAAUCCCAGGGCUCAACCUUGGAACUGCCUUCAAAACUUCCAGUCUUGAGUUCGAGAGAGGUGAGUGGAAUUCCGAGUGUAGAGGUGAAAUUCGUAGAUAUUCGGAGGAACACCAGUGGCGAAGGCGGCUCACUGGCUCGAUACUGACGCUGAGGUGCGAAAGCGUGGGGAGCAAACAGGAUU